rnacentral:rRNA from 1 species
GAUUAGAUAUGCGUCCGCUGCUCUGUAGGCAGAUAGUCUCUACGAGAUUACAAAGCCAUCACAUCAUAUGGUGGGGAGACUUGGCCUCGGAGAAAGUAGGAGGAAGGGUAAGCGAAGGGAAGUAGGAGGAAGGUGGAGCGAAGGCGCGCUGCGGUGGUGCGUCGUAAAAGGCGACGACGGUGAUUUUACUUCAUUUUACUAGCAGCAAUAAUCAAUAAUGAGGUGUUGGAGGAUAUCACUCGCCUUCCCUGGUUCGUCGCUCUCGACUUCCCUAAAACCCCUAACCGGAUCCCAAAAUCCCACCGGCUGCGCUGCCGUACCGGAUGGUGGUGGAGGAGCAGCAGAGCGGCGGCCGCGUCGGCGGCGGCGGCGGCGCCGCGGAGAGUGAUGAGAGGGCGAGCGGCGCCCCCCGGCAGUGUCGGCGACGGAGCGGGCUGCGGCGGGCGAGGAGCAGCCACCACCGUAGCAGCCGCCGGUGCGCUUCCUCCCGGCACGAGGACCAGCCCUAGAGGCACGAGGGCGAGGACGCGGAGGCACUGCGCCGCUGGAGGCGUCGCGUCGGGAGUCGCCAGCUAGAGCAGUGACUAUUUUACCUGUAAGUCUACAGACUCCUUUACGUCGGACUUCUUUGAUCCCGACCUGGUGGAGUCGGACUCCACUUUUCCGGUAGAGGUCCCUUAGGUGAACGAUCAGAAGACUUAUGUUAACGUCAAUAACGAAGACCCGAAGACCGACCCGAAGAACCAUGAUGAGUUGCACUUUUCUUCCGGAACGUCAGUCGGUAGAGUAGAUACCUCUAGUUUAACCGACUUCUACUCCGUCGCUACAGAAACGAAUCUCUCUUGAUACUCUUUUCCGAUAACCUGCUUGUUCACCGUGUCUUCUUUGUUCGAUCCUACAAGGUCCUGCUCCUUCGAAGAGAAGAACUAGCUAACCGGAGUUGAUUCUCUUGACAUUUUUUAAAUUUACUCCUUCAAUACUUCCUCUUCCUCGAUCAACUUGUCGAAUUUGUACUUUAUGUACUAGAACUCUAAUCGUAACGUGUUCGUCUCCUUCUGUUUGUACGCAAACUUCUUUUAAACUCCCUGUUCAACCUUUGUGAACUAUAAAAUGUACCGUUCCAUUUAGACGAAUCGGUUCUACAUUUACUGUUCCUCCUUUUGUAAUGUCUUGAGUCAAGUAGUGAAAGUUGGUUCCUUCCUCUGAUGGUCUCGGACGUGAACUACAAAUUAGUCUGAUUUCUCUCGGACCUUGUACGUUUAAGAUCUUACCUCGUUGACCUCUUCAUACAAAUACGUCGAUUUUUACUAUAUUUUAGUUUCUAUAGGAGUUAACUAAGUAACUUACUCCUACAGGUUUGUAACACGUCACGUUUCUCACUACGGCUCCUUUUUUAUUCGCUCAAUUACUUUGUCAUGUGCCUUAACCUUUGACGAAGAUUCUACUCCCGGAGAGCGCUAAGACUUGAUAACAGGUUAUUUCUACCAGUCGAGUUAGUUGAGCUUCUUGCUGAAAGAUGACGUAAUUCACUGAGAUCACUUCUGUCUUCAUAUUAACGGCUCAAUUUGUCACUUAACCUUCGAUUGUCUUGUUACGAUGAGUUACUUCAACUCUGGGCCUUUUUUUACAGCCUAGAACAAGUCAGGUGACUUCUACGUGAAUUUCUUAGGUCUUUACUCAACAAGUUUGACAGGCUUCUCGAAUUACGUCAUUUAUAUAGUUUGGUACUGAACUGUUGGGUCUAAAGUCUUAAGUGUUUACUCAGAUUACUUCACUUUGUCCGAGACUGAUUCUUUCAUCUUCUUCGCCUUAGUCAAAGAUUUCGAGAAAGUCUACUUAACCGGAGUCACUUCCUCUAUGUAGUUUUCUGUGUUCUUCUAGAACUUCAGUGGAGAUUAGUUAACCACAGAUAAUGUCUUCACGUACUACUUGAAUCAUUUCUUAACGACCUAUGUAUAUUUUUCAAUCUCAGGUGUUGUCUACUCGAACAAUCUCUUGCUUCCUAAUUACGAUGAAAUUUCUCCCUCGAACUCCGUAACCACUUUGUUAGUGUCCACCUUAGACUUCGAUCUUCUCGAGAAGUUCGUCUGAACCUACUCCGGUGAGAAAGUGAUUUACUCCACUUACUCUCAUGUAAUAAAGACAGAUUAUUCGAACUAUCGUGACAAAGGUCCUAAAGACGAUAAUUUCUUCUCUUUCUCCAAGAAAGUCGCCGAGAAAGCCUCGUUUUCUUUUCAUGUCGGCUUCGAGUCUUUUUAUACCACCUACGAGUCGUAGAAUAAUUUUCCGAACCCUACCUCUCUCUCUUAUCACUUUAGUCCUCAUGUUUCGAACUUCUCCUUAACCGGUGUCGUUUUCCACUCUACAAUAUAGACUCCUCCGUCUAAUGACGUUCACCCAGUGUCUUAUGUCUACAAAACCUUCGUUCGGGUUGUGGUUUAAAGUUGGUCAGAGGCCUUCUAGUACAAGGUUUAUGGUCAUCAUGACUACGACAUGGAGGAGCAAGACGAUUCUUCUAAAUAUCCUCUUCUUUUCUGUCUGGUAGUUGUACUCGUAAUGGUCUUGUACACUAGAUCCUGGUAGAUAGAAAGUAAACGAGAGUAAAAUCGUGAAAUACUCUUUACAAGAAUAAAUUGAAGGUUGUAAACUUUCGAUCGUACAAUCUGAUGGGAUAUCAUCGAGGUUGAGAAAAACAACUUCGAGAUUUUCUUCUGGGAAGACCAAAGGUACUAGGUAUACGAUCUAACACUCCCUUAACGUUUACAUACAAUUAGACACACGUCUACACAACAACAACAGAGCUCACGAAGUACUUAAUAUUAUACCACUGAGAACGAUAGAAGAAUGAUUUUGUGAAGUUUGGCGUGUACGUUAGACGAAUAGGUAGUAAUGCAAUUAAUGUAUCCGUACGAAGAUAAGACCAUGACAAAUGAACAGACAGAGUACAAGACGUAAAAAUAUUACUUGGAUGUAAGAGGACUAAGUAAAUUGAGCUCGCGCUUAAUACUCUACGGCCCUCCUUCAAAUAAUUACGGAACUGUAGAACAGGAAAGUGGAGGGUAAGGAGGGUUUGUAUACCACGACGUUUUUGAACCAGAACACGACGAAUAUAUACUUUUGGUACGACUGAUAAAAGUUAAAAAGUACGACCCAGAAUCGUAUGACAAGAGAGACAAAAUAACGUACGGGAUAACAAUAUAUGAAUCACUAGAUUUGCGAGAAUAUAAAGAAAUGUCUCCCUCAUAAAUAGACAUAGAACGGUCUUAGACCAGAAUUUAUGGUCUUAUCAACCACAGCUAAUAGGAACUGGCUUAAUCCAUACACAAAGAUUUAACAAUUACAGGGUGACAGGAAAAGGGACUAAUGUACAACAGUAAACAGUCCUUAAACGAUGAAACCAAGUGUUCUGAAGGAAAACAUAGAGA